CAAUAGCGUAUAUUAAAGUUGUUGCAGUUAAAAAGCUCGUAGUUGAACUUCAGACCUGGCCGGGCGGUCUGCCUAACGGUAUGUACUGUCUGGCUGGGUCUUACCUCUUGGUGAGCCGGCAUGCCCUUCACUGGGUGUGUCGGGGAACCAGGACUUUUACCUUGAGAAAAUUAGAGUGUUCAAAGCAGGCCUAUGCCCGAAUACAUUAGCAUGGAAUAAUAAAAUAGGACGUGCGGUUCUAUUUUGUUGGUUUCUAGAGUCGCCGUAAUGAUUAAUAGGGAUAGUUGGGGGCAUUAGUAUUCAGUUGCUAGAGGUGAAAUUCUUGGAUUUACUGAAGACUAACUACUGCGAAAGCAUUUGCCAAGGAUGUUUNCAUUAA
rnacentral:rRNA from 1 species